rnacentral:rRNA from 1 species
AACGAACGCUGGCGGCGUGGAUAAGACAUGCAAGUCGAGCGGGAUAAUCAGGGUAGCAAUAUUCUGGUUGUUCAGCGGCGCAAGGGUGCGUAACACGUGGGUAAUUUGCCAUGAAGUCUGGAAUAACUUGCUGAAAGGCGAGCUAAUGCCGGAUGUGACUUCCGAGGGGCAUCUCUUGGAGUUCAAAGUUGGGGACCGUAAGGCCUGGCGCUUCUUGAUAAGCCCGCGGUCUAUCAGCUAGUUGGUGAGGUAACGGCUCACCAAGGCUAAGACGGAUAGCUGGUCUGAGAGGACGACCAGCCACACUGGAACUGAGACACGGUCCAGACACCUACGGGUGGCAGCAGUCGAGAAUUUUUCACAAUGGGCGAAAGCCUGAUGGAGCGACGCCGCGUGGGGGAUGAAUGGCUUCGGCCCGUAAACCCCUGUCAUUUGCGAACAAACCUUACCGGUUAACAACCGGUGAGCUGAUUGUAGCGGAAGAGGAAGGGACGGCUAACUCUGUGC